UCGGUUUGGGUGGCGGACGGGUGAGUAACGCGUAAAGAACUUGCCUCACAGCUAGGGACAACAUUUGGAAACGAAUGCUAAUACCUGAUAUUAUGGUUAUAAGGCAUCUUAUAACUAUGAAAGCUAAAUGCGCUGUGAGAGAGCUUUGCGUCCCAUUAGCUAGUUGGAGAGGUAACAGCUCACCAAGGCGAUGAUGGGUAGCCGGCCUGAGAGGGUGAACGGCCACAAGGGGACUGAGACACGGCCCUUACUCCUACGGGAGGCAGCAGUGGGGAAUAUUGGACAAUGGACCGAGAGUCUGAUCCAGCAAUUCUGUGUGCACGAUGAAGUUUUUCGGAAUGUAAAGUGCUUUCAGUUGGGAAGAAAAAAAUGACGGUACCAACAGAAGAAGUGACGGCUAAAUACGUGCCAGCAGCCGCGGUAAUACGUAUGUCACAAGCGUUAUCCGGAUUUAUUGGGCGUAAAGCGCGUCUAGGUGGUUAUGUAAGUCUGAUGUGAAAAUGCAGGGCUCAACUCUGUAUUGCGUUGGAAACUGUGUGACUAGAGUACUGGAGAGGUAAGCGGAACUACAAGUGUAGAGGUGAAAUUCGUAGAUAUUUGUAGGAAUGCCGAUGGGGAAGCCAGCUUACUGGACAGAUACUGACGCUAAAGCGCGAAAGCGUGGGUAGCAAACAGGAUUAGAUACCCUGGUAGUCCACGCUGUAAACGAUGAUUACUAGGUGUUGGGGGUCGAACCUCAGCGCCCAAGCA
rnacentral:rRNA from 1 species